ensembl:antisense Gm29326 predicted gene 29326
UCCUCAGCCACCUCUUCAUACGAUAAACACAGAUCAUAGCGCAGGAAGACUGGGGUACCAUCAGGCCAAAGGCGGGCACGGAUCACUGAGUUAGGAAUGUAGCAAUCUGGAGCGAAGGGCCAUUUCUGCCCUUUGCCAAAGAAGUCUUGGAGUAAUCGGUAGGGGUUCAGCCCAUCCCAGGCAGGUACCUUUAACUGAGCAGGGACGGCAUCGGAGUACUUUAUCUUGGAGUCAGAUAUGGAGAAAUCAACAAAUUUUUCCUGCUCAAAGUACAACCUAGUUCUCUCUUGCGAUGUGGUGGAUGUAUGUCUGCCCUCCUCUACAACAUGAGGCACAAUGUCAUCAAAAGCAAUGGCCCGUUUGUUGAUAAGAGUCUCUAGCCCCUGGAGCUCUUGAACAUUUUGUUCCAUGUACAUGAAUUUGGGUACAAAUAUCAAUUCAAACAGAAAGAAGAAGCUGGGAAGGAAGGGCCUUGGGGUCUCUAUCGUAUCUUCUUCGAAGGUAAAAGUGUUUAGGUUUAUCAGGUAACUGAAGGGGAGCAGCUUUAGGCAGGACACUAUGUAGAUGCUUUGGUCGAAAGUCAAGAGCAGGUCACCUCGACUAUUGGCGAAGCAGGGUGAACUAAAAUGCAGUUCAGAUUCAAACUGAGCUAUGAGUUUCCCACGGAAGUCCCAGACCCUGACUGAUCCAUCCGUGGCUCCCGUGACAAAGAGUUUCAGGGAGAGGCAGACAUCAAAUGAAGUGAUAGCACAUUCAUGCAGGGAGUUCGUGUGUCUCACCAUGGUAUUAGACGACAGCGCUGCCUUUGUAGAAUCUUGAUAAUGCCAGAGAAACCAGCAGGAGUGUUCAGUUAUGGCACCCACAGAACCUGGCAGGAGCACCACAUGUUUUAAGGGACACACACAGACAAUUUCAGUCAUGGGCUGCAGGUCCAUUCUCCUCUCUGCAUGCACCACCUUUGUGAGGCGUAUGUAGUUGUCCUUACCAUAGGAACACACCAAGGAACUCUCUUCAGAACCCUCCGGUGUACACAACGCCAACACUGCCCCAGAGUGAAUAGUCUUCUCUGUCCUGGUAGAACAGUCCUGGGAUAGAAUUCUCACAAUGCCGCUCUCGUACCCACAGAACAUCAGCCCCUUUUUACUGCCGACCAGAUGAGACACGCCAUAAGCCAGGCAUUUUAUUUUGUCUUUGUAAUUUUCUGAAGUGCACAAGAGAUAUUUGGCUGGACAUGGGGAACGUGUGGCAUCAAACACUAGCAGCUCCGAGCUGCCGAUUGCCACAAAGAGCUCCUCUCUCUCUGAGUGAUAGGCCCAAGCCACAGCCUGAUCCAUGGCCAGCAGGGGCCAGGUGACAAUGAGGAGGUCCCCGGUUACUGGAGACAGGAAGCGCAGUAAACUGUCCUCUGUGGCACACAGGAUACGAGUACAGUUAUGGCCACAAAAGACCCGUUGUAUCUUCUGGGGGGCAGAGCCACAGAUGUUGAAGAGAUUGUAAAAGUGGGGCAGUAAGUACAAGGAGAAACUAGACGUGUUCUGGCAGAAAAACGUGCUGCUGUCAAUAAACUGCAGCUGCUGCAGAUCUGUGCCAACAAUAAGCUGCCUCAACAAGUUCCCAGAGGUGAGGUUCCACUCCUUCAACAUGCCAUCGCUGCCUGCCGUGAACAAGGUGUAGGUCUCAGGCCGACUGUAGAUGGAUAUCACAGAUGAGGGGUGGGCCAUGAAACUAUUGAGAAAUUUACUGUCAUCUAAAUUCCAAGCGUAGACCUCUCCAUUCUUGUUUCCAGCAUAGAAGGUGUUCUGUGGCACACAGCCACAGGAGCAGGUAAGGGAGAAGCCACCGGAUCGGAGAGUGAAUGUCUUCACUUCUUUAAGCUGGCCUUGAGCAUUGUGAGUAAAAACUCUCACUACACUCUCACACAAAGCUACCAGGGAGCCCAUGCUCGUGCUCAUGUACAAGUCCUGUACCAUCUCAUGGCCACUCACGGCCACUCUGUGAGCCAUCUGGAGGCCUUUGCCGUUUGCUACAAUGAACCAGGUAACCACAGCUCCCAAAGUACCAGAAGAGAGCACCUCAGUUUCUGAGUCAUAGCAGAGACAACUGAUGAAGAAAUGACAGGGCACCGUACUCAGGGCUAUGAACUCCUGGUGGUGGUCUCCAAAGAGCCUCAGGCGCAUAUCGUCACAAUAAGCUACUAACAGGCAAUAGGAUGCCACAUGGACCAUCGCCGUGAUGGGCGGGACAUCAUCCAUCAUGGGAUAUUUCAUCUUCGUGACCUUCCUUUUCUCUUUUAUGCCUUUCCCCUCGGUCCACAGGACUGCCUAGAAGAGGAUGGAAAAAUGCAGAGUUUGGUCAUGGAGCAAAGCAUCUCCCGGGAAUGUGCUGUAAGGAAAAGCCUGGCUGGCUCCUCUUGUAGACAAAGGAAGGAUUUGGCUUUAGGGGUUUCAUAGUAC